UACGGGGGGGGCAAGCGUUGUUCGGAAUUAUUGGGCGUAAAGAGCGUGUAGGCGGCCAAAUAGGUCGGUUGUGAAAACUGGAGGCUUAACCUCCAGACGUCGACCGAAACCAUCUGGCUAGAGUCCGGAAGAGGAGAGUGGAAUUCCUGGUGUAGCGGUGAAAUGCGCAGAUAUCAGGAAGAACACCCGUGGCGAAGGCGGCUCUCUGGGACGGUACUGACGCUGAGACGCGAAAGCGUGGGGAGCGAACAGG
rnacentral:rRNA from 1 species